GAUGAACGCUGGCGGCGUGCCUAAUACAUGCAAGUCGAGCGAACAGACGAGGAGCUUGCUCCUCUGACGUUAGCGGCGGACGGGUGAGUAACACGUGGAUAACCUACCUAUAAGACUGGGAUAACUUCGGGAAACCGGAGCUAAUACCGGAUAAUAUAUUGAACCGCAUGGUUCAAUAGUGAAAGACGGUUUUGCUGUCACUUAUAGAUGGAUCCGCGCCGCAUUAGCUAGUUGGUAAGGUAACGGCUUACAAAGGCAACGAUGCGUAGCCGACCUGGGAGGGUGAUCGGCCACACGGAAACUGGGACACGGUCCAUACUCCAACGGGAGGCAGCAGUAGGAAAUCUGCCGCAAGGGGCGAAAGCCUGACGAGGCAACGCCGCUUGAGUGAUGAAGGUCUUCGGUUCGUAAAACUCGGUUAUUAGGGAAGAACAAAUGGGUAAGUAACUAUGCACGUCUUGACGGUACCAAGUCAGAAAGCCACGGCUAACUACGU
rnacentral:rRNA from 1 species